GCUUGUCUCAAAGAUUAAGCCAUGCAUGUCUUAGUGUAAAUAACUCUUAUGAAACUGCGAAUGGCUCAUUAAAUCAGUUAUCGUUUAUUUGAUGGUCCCUUACUACAUGGAUAACCGUAGUAAUUCUAGAGCUAAUACAUGCGUCAAGUCCCUACCGCGCGAGCGGGAAGGAUGUGUUUAUUAGAUACAACCAACCCUUCGGGUCCCUGGUGAAUCAUAAUAACCGAACGAACCGUAUGCGCAAGCGACGGUGGUUCAUUCAAGUUUCUGCCCUAUCAGCUUUCGAUGGUAGGGUAUUGGCCUACCAUGGCGUUAACGGGUAACGGAGAAUUAGGGUUCGAUUCCGGAGAGGGAGCCUGAGAGAUGGCUACCACAUCCAAGGAAGGCAGCAGG
rnacentral:rRNA from 1 species